rnacentral:rRNA from 1 species
CCUACGGGCGGCAGCAGUGGGGAAUAUUGGGCAAUGGGCGCAAGCCUGACCCAGCAACGCCGCGUGAAGGAAGAAGGCUUUCGGGUUGUAAACUUCUUUUGUCAGGGACGAAGCACGUGACGGUACCUGACGAAUAAGCCACGGCUAACUACGUGCCAGCAGCAGCGGUACUACGUAGGUGGCGAGGGUUAUCCGGAUUUAUUGGGUUUAAGGGGUGAGGAGGCGGAUUUUUAAGUCAGCGGUAAAAUGUGCGGGCUCACCCCGGGCCGGCCGUUGAAACUGGGGAUCUUGAGUGGGCGGGAAGUGUGCGGAAUGCGUGGUGUAGCGGUGAAAUGCAUAGAUAUCACGCAGAACUCCGAUUGCGAAGGCAGCAUACCGGCGCCCGACUGACGCUGAGGCACGAAAGCGUGGGGAUCGAACAGGAUUAGAUACCCGAGUAGUC